rnacentral:rRNA from 1 species
CGCUACCACAUCCAAGGAAGGCAGCAGGCACGCAAAUUACCCAAUCCCAGCUCUGGGAGGUAGUGACGAAAAAUAACAAUGCGGGACUCUUCCGAGUCUGCGUAAUUGGAAUGAGCACACUUUAAAUCCUUUAGCGACAACCGAUUGGAGGGCAAGUCUGGUGCCAGCAGCCGCGGUAAUUCCAGCUCCAAUAGCGUAUAUUAAAGUUGUUGCGGUUAAAAAGCUCGUAGUUCGAGCUCAGUUCCGGACUGGCCGGGGAGGUCACCGCCCGGUGCUUCCCCGUCAGGCUCCGAACAGCUUCCGCCAGCGGAAGCCAAGCCGGUUCUGCCGGGGUGCUCUUCGCCGAGUGUCCCGCGCGGCCGGCCAGUUCACCUUGAACAAAUGAGAGUGCUCAAAGCAGGCUACUCUUGAAUAAUACGCCCGAAUGUUACCUGCAUGGAAUGAUGGAAGAUGAUCUCGGUUCCAUUUUGUUGGUGGUGGGAGCCCGAGGUAAUGAUAAACAGGGACUGUCGGGGGCAUCCGUACUACGACGCGAGAGGUGAAAUUCAGUGACCGUCGUAGGACGAACAACAGCGAAAGCAUUUGCCAAGAAUGUCUUCGUUGAUCAAGAACGAAAGUUAGAGGUUCGAA